rnacentral:rRNA from 1 species
GGCGGCAGAGCCUCGUAGCGUGCCGUCGUUCGGGCAGCGGGGGGUGGCGGCGUGUCGCUGGAGUCGGUGAGGCCGGUCCUACCAGCGCAAGUCAAGGUGGUCAUGGUCCACCAGCCCUCCCCGGACGGCUGCGGCUGGCUCCUCGUAGGGUCCUAGAUGGCGUACUUCGAGACCCGGUGGUUGCUCCAGGCGCGGAUCAGGUUCAAGACCACUCCUUAAAUGCUAAGCUUAGACCUUCGGAGAGCUCUUACGCACUUCUUCUCGUUGCCGGUCUAGGAGCGGAAGUUGCUCUAAAAACCAUAAGACCAACGGAAUGGUUUCUUCCUGACCUAUGUUGUACAUGUUCCUCAUGGCACUGUGGUGGGAAUUACCGCGGCAGCUCGUCUACAUGUGCCUCUACCGAAGGGCGGUGGCACAGUCCGGGGGGACGUAGGUCUAGUAGUUCUGCCGGUGACAGGUGAAGUUGUAGACGUCCGCACUAUUGUGAUUCGUCAAAGUGUCCAGCCUGUAGUUCAAGGGCGACCAGAUGGUCUUCCAGUCCGGUGGUUUGUCCUUCGACUUCUGCCGGAAGUUCCGGAGCUCCGGUUUGAACAAGUGCACUAUUCAGUAGGCGAGUAUUGGACAUUCGGGCAGGUAAUACUUCGUAGUAACGAUCAAGUAUAAUUAUCAUAACUAUACGUUGUAAAAGAAUAAGAAUUAAGAUCUAUCGUCAAGGCGCAUCACGGGAAAUACCCGAACUGUUGGGAAACAAAUUAGAAACAUUGUAAACACCAAUAUACUGACGGACUAAGCUC